UACAUCUGGAGGUACUUCAUAGUCCCAACUUCUUGUUCUCAGAAGCCAAAUCUGGCUUGAGAAAGAAAAGAACCAACAGCUACACUUUCCAAAACAGCCUCUCAUCAUGGGUUUGAAAGCUAUUUUCUCAUCUGAUUGAGGUUUGAUGUGUCCACAUUCUAUUGAUUUUGUAUGACAGUGACAGGUUGGUGAAAGACCCAUAAAAAUGAUUUGUGUAUAAAACUUGCAUUCAUAGAAAUUCAGGCUGCACAGAGGACCACUGGAAAGUUUGCAGGGUGACUAAUAUGCUCAGAAUGAAUGUUUUAAUCAAUUCUUCUACAGGGAAUAACAAGAAUAGUUCAGUGAUUUACAAGUAUUAAGCCAGCAUAUACUCGUAUUCAACUGAAAAAUUAAAAUGAAAGCUUAGCAUGAAGAAAAUUUCUGAAAGACAAACAGUCAUUUAGUGUUCAGAAUAUCAAAUUCUUUAGCAGUGACAUGCACACAGAAAUGCCUUUGCACAGACAUGCAGGCAUGAUGUAUAGAGAAAUCCAUAUAGUAAACGGGAGGGACAAUUCUGUCUUCAUGAAGUAAUUAAUUACUUAUAAAGUAAUGGUAGUGUCCAAUCAUUAAUACUUCGAAAGUGUCUAUUUCAUCAAAGUUUAUUGCUGAGUGUUUUAUCAUGCUCCAAGAAGUGAUUAAAUAGAAUUCAAUAUGUCUUUUUAGGUCUGGCAGGAUCAUCAUGUGGUUAAAGAUAGAUCUGGAUGUUCUUCAUCGCUUUCCCAUUUAGCUGAGAGAGGCUUCCAUUUCCUUGAGGGUCCUCUGCAGUGAAGGAGCUAAAUGAUGGAGCGCUCAUUACUCCCCUCGCACACCUGAGCAGUGAGAACAGGAUGCCUGUGCUCCAGCUGUUGCUACAAACCUGCCUGUCUGCAGCAUGCUGCUGGGUAGGGAAGGCUCCCAGGUGGAGGACCCUCUCAGAACAGCAGGAUGUAGAGUUAAAGGGAAGCAAAGCUGCCAAACAUGAGAACAAGCUGCCCGUUCUUGUUCAGUUAUGCCAUUACAGAUUCUCAGCGCCAAUGGUUAACUUUUCAAAGUGUAAAUCAGGACUUAAUGUGAAAGAAACCCUGGAAGGGCCUCAUCAAAGAACCAGGUCAUAA
rnacentral:lncRNA from 1 species